rnacentral:rRNA from 1 species
CGGUCCGCCUCACCGCGAGUACUGAUCCGGCUGGACCUUUCCUUCUGGGGAACCUCAUGGCCUUCACUGGCUGUGGGGGGAACCAGGACUUUUACUGUGAAAAAAUUAGAGUGUUCAAAGCAGGCCUUUGCUCGAAUACAUUAGCAUGGAAUAAUAGAAUAGGACGUGCGGUUCUAUUUUGUUGGUUUCUAGGACCGCCGUAAUGAUUAAUAGGGAUAGUCGGGGGCGUCAGUAUUCAGCUGUCAGAGGUGAAAUUCUUGGAUUUGCUGAAGACUAACUACUGCGAAAGCAUUCGCCAACGAUGUUUUCAUUAAUCAGGCAACGAAAGUUAGGGGAUCGAAGACGAUCAGAUACCGUCGUAGUCUUAACCAUAAACUAUGCCGACUAGGGAUCGGACGGGAUUCUAUAAUGACCCGUU